AGAGCAACAAAGGAAGUGAAGUUAUCAGAGGAGAAACGGUCAAGUGUUUGGAGAAAGUUCAACCGCUUUUUUGGUUUGUCCAAAGAGCCCUUAAUCCCAACUCCUGCUUUUGCAUUCCACGUGCCAGCUCCUCCAGCACUUACUGACACUCCUCUGGGGUCUUCACAACUGCCAGCUGUCAGCCAGACUCCAAAUGAGUCUGCUUCUCCUGCCACUUUCACACCACGUGCCAGGAGGAGAGAACUCUACAGAGAAAUCCGAUCCCACAUUUGGGGAACUCUGGGAAAACGGCAAAUACAAGGGUGGAGUAUGCCACUGGGAAAUGCACAGGUAGUAGAACCACAUUCAGAAUACAAAUAAAGGGGGAACUGUUGGGUAUUAAAAAGAGUACAUGAAAAUGGAAAUAAGAGCUUCC